rnacentral:misc_RNA from 1 species
ACUCCGUAGGUGAACCUGCGGAGGGAUCAUUACAGAGUUCGUGCCCUCACGGGUAGAUCUCCCACCCUGUGUUAUUAUACCUUUGUUGCUUUGGCGGGCCGCCUUCGGCUACCGGCCCCGGCUGGUACGCGCCCGCCAGAGGACCCCAAACUCUGAAUGUUAGUGUCGUCUGAGUACUAUACAAUAGUUAAAACUUUCAACAACGGAUCUCUUGGUUCUC